AGGACGAACGCUGGCGGCGUGCCUAACACAUGCAAGUGGAGCGACGAACCAGGCUUCGGCCUGGGGCAAAGCCGCGAACGGGUGAGUAACACGUGGGUAACCUGCCUCGAUGAUUGGGACAACCCGAGGAAACUCGGGCUAAUACCGAAUGUGCCCUCCGGCCAUAAGGCUGCUGGGGAAAGGAAGCUUCGGCCUCCGCAUCGAGAUGGGCCCGCGGCCCAUUAGCUUGUUGGUGAGGUAACGGCUCACCAAGGCGACGAUGGGUAGCUGGUCUGAGAGGACGAUCAGCCACACUGGGACUGAGACACGGCCCAGACUCCUACGGGAGGCAGCAGUGGGGAAUCUUGCGCAAUGGGCGAAAGCCUGACGCAGCAACGCCGCGUGGGGGAUGAAGGCUCUCGGGUUGUAAACCCCUUUCAGUAGGGACGAAUCAAGACGGUACCUACAGAAGAAGCCCCGGCUAACUACGUGCCAGCAGCCGC
rnacentral:rRNA from 1 species